GGCGGCGUGCUUAACACAUGCAAGUCGAACGAAGCACUCUAUUUGAUUUUCUUCGGAAAUGAAGAUUUUGUGACUGAGUGGCGGACGGGUGAGUAACGCGUGGGUAACCUGCCUCAUACAGGGGGAUAACAGUUGGAAACGACUGCUAAUACCGCAUAAGCGCACAGGAUUGCAUGAUCCGGUGUGAAAAACUCCGGUGGUAUGGGAUGGACCCGCGUCUGAUUAGCCAGUUGGCAGGGUAACGGCCUACCAAAGCGACGAUCAGUAGCCGACCUGAGAGGGUGACCGGCCACAUUGGGACUGAGACACGGCCCAAACUCCUACGGGAGGCAGCAGUGGGGAAUAUUGCACAAUGGGGGAAACCCUGAUGCAGCGACGCCGCGUGAGCGAAGAAGUAUUUCGGUAUGUAAAGCUCUAUCAGCAGGGAAGAAGAAUGACGGUACCUGACUAAGAAGCACCGGCUAAAUACGUGCCAGCAGCCGCGGUAAUACGUAUGGUGCAAGCGUUAUCCGGAUUUACUGGGUGUAAAGGGAGCGCAGGCGGUGCGGCAAGUCUGAUGUGAAAGCCCGGGGCUCAACCCCGGUACUGCAUUGGAAACUGUCGUACUAGAGUGUCGGAGGGGUAAGUGGAAUUCCUAGUGUAGCGGUGAAAUGCGUAGAUAUUAGGAGGAACACCAGUGGCGAAGGCGGCUUACU
rnacentral:rRNA from 1 species